UCAAAUAAACUGACCACAGCAGAAUAUGUUACUAUGCUGCUUUGACGCGCAUCGGGUUGGUGUUCAGGUCUGCAUUCUGUUGCUGCGUAAUAUGUUCUAAAACUGGUGUAAAAUGUUGCUGGCCAUUCAAAUGAAUACCCCUCAUGAAUGCUGUGUUGUUAAAAUGCAUUUAACAUGACUUCAUUUCAAAAUUUCUCUCAACACCCCAGAAUCUGACUGACUUCCAGCGUCCCUGUCUAAGGUGCAUUCAUUACCAAAUUUCUGGUUCUUUCUAUGUUUCUCUCUUUUUUUAUUUUUUGUUUUGUGCAAAAUAUGUCAGUAUUUUAUCAUGAAGGUUUCGACUGGAUGAUUCACAGUCCUGGAUGUAAACUACUCUAGCCUAAUUUGCAACAACAGACACAGACAUGUAUCACUAUAUUAUGCAGAUCGGUUAGUCCAGAAGUCUUCACAGGGGUUGGGAGAGUUUAUUCUAAGCAGUGGUAAUUUAAUAUGUUAUGUAAAGAGAGGCUCUUUGAAGGGAUCUUGAUCGGUAACUUUGCAGGGAAAAGCGGCAGGUCUCUGACAUACAGUCAUGAUUUAUGUAAGGAACUGGGCAUGAGGCCUUAUCUGAGCCUGUCUGUAUGAAUUAUGGGAGCAGCUAAUAGAAGUUUCUCAUCCUAACAUCCUCCAGGUACAGUUUCUCAGACCCACCCGGUUUUCUCAAGCUGCCAUAAAUGAUUAAAUUUAAAACAUCCUGAAUGUUCCCUUUUCUCUUCCCCCAACCCGGUUGGAUUUCAGUCUCGCCCCAGACACUGGCCUACUUCAAAUAACAUGGUAGUAAUAAUAAUUGGUUUUGUGUUGGACCCAAUGUCUGACAUACAGGCAAUGGCUCCUGUUUUCCUUCUUCAUUAGUGGAAGACAGUGGUACUAAUGUUUUUUUUAAAAUGUUUUCUCAGUGUGGAGGUUAAGCCAAAAUGUGCUGCAUUAGGCUGCUGCCAUGUUGCACGAGUGACCUGAUUUGGAGCCAGAUUCUGUGCUGUAAUGAACGCGGAGUGGAGCCGCGGUGUCGAUGUCCUGCUGUGUACCCACCUGACCAAUCACAAGUCAAUCUCAGCUAGUUUUAUUGUGAAGGUGAAACCCGGACUCUGUACUCGCUGAAGUACGGCGGCCUCGUCACCGGUGUGUCGGGACCAUCGGUGCUGCUGGCUUGACAGUGGAGCCAGAGGCAGGGACUCUGCACCGCGACACUUCAUCUUACUGAUCAAUUAACCCGGAGCUGUCAUUCUAUUAAUACACAGGUACGUCCCUAUAUUUACAUAAUGUCUGAUAAUUGGUCAAACUCUCAGGGGCAUGACAAUGAGGGGACACAGACUUUAUGUGCAAAGACCAUGUAACUUAUUGUAGUUUAUUCUCAAAUAGGUCAGGUUGUUGUAGUUCAAUUAACCCUUUCACAGGUCAGGAAAUGUUACCGUGAAAAGAUGAUGUUGUUGAGUGUGUGUAUUCUGUGUAGUGU
rnacentral:lncRNA from 1 species